GAUGAACGCUGGCGGCGUGCCUAAUACAUGCAAGUCGAGCGAACAGACGAGGAGCUUGCUCCUCUGACGUUAGCGGCGGACGGGUGAGUAACACGUGGAUAACCUACCUAUAAGACUGGGAUAACUUCGGGAAACCGGAGCUAAUACCGGAUAAUAUAUUGAACCGCAUGGUUCAAUAGUGAAAGACGGUUUUGCUGUCACUUAUAGAUGGAUCCGCCCCGCAUUAGCUAGUUGGUAAGGUAACGGCUUACCAAGGCGACGAUGCGUAGCCGACCUGAGAGGGUGAUCGGCCACACUGGAACUGAGACACGGUCCAGACUCCUACGGGAGGCAGCAGUAGGGACUCUUCCGCAAUGGGCGAAAGCCUGACGGAGCAACGCCGCGUGAGUGAUGAAGGUCUUCGGAUCGUAAAACUCUGUUAUUAGGGAAGAACAAAUGUGUAAGUAACUAUGCACGUCUUGACGGUACCUAAUCAGAAAGCCACGGCUAACUACGUG
rnacentral:rRNA from 1 species